rnacentral:lncRNA from 1 species
GGCAGACCCCUGGGCUAACAGGCCAAGGGAUGAACCUCAAUGGCGCCCACUGGGGUCUGUGUCAGCAUGCCUGGACCAGUUCAGAACAAUGGCCCCCACCAAUGUCUCAGUCUCUGAAGAGGUCCCUCCGCUCACCAAGAGGCCCCCAGAGCCCACCAGGCGAACAAGCUUUCCAGUCUGGCAUGGAAGAAGCUUAGAAGUCGCCACUCCAUCCUAACAACAAAUAAAAAGAUGAAAAAUCAACAGCUCUUCUUAGAUUCAUCAGAGAAGUGACGUCGCAGGGCAAACCACUGUCCCCCAAAAUUGGGAGAACUGACAGAUUAGUCCUGAGCUAACUACUGCCAAUCAUCCUCCUUUUGCUGAGGAAGACCAGACUUGAGCCAACAUCCAGGCCCAUCUUCCUCCACCUUAUACCUGGGACGUCUACCACAGCAUGUUUUUUUGCCAAGUGUUACCACGUCCGCACCCGGGAUCCGAACUGGCACACCCUCGGCUGCCAAGAAGAGGAACAUGCGAACUUAACCGCUGCACCACUGGACCAGCCCCAAUGCUUUUUAAUAUAAUCAUGUGCCUCAUAAUGACAUUUCAGUCAAUGAUGUACUGCGUAUAUGACAUUGGUCCCAUAAGAUUAGUACCGUAUAGCCUAGGUUUGUAGUAGGCUAUACCUAGGUUUGUGUAAGUACUAUAUACCUAUAUCUAGGUUUAUAUAAGUACUAUAUGGAAGGAAGAAGUUUCCCUCUACUGUUCUAGGUUCUUCUGGUUGGUCUAAGAAUUAAAUUGACAUGAAAAAGAUUAACAAGAGAAAAACAAAAGUUUAAUAACAUGCAU